AAUUUGGAAAAAAAAAAAGGUCAUAUUUAUGUCUGCAUGUUGUGGCAUUUCUAAGUCCCCUUUUAGAUCAUGCGGAAGAAUUCUUCUUGGACACUUUCUCGAUUCAGUUCAGUUGAGAGCUCUCGUGUUUCCUUUAUAUCAGUCUAGUGGGCAUCAGAAAGGCUAUGAGCAAUUUGAUGCUGUUCUUAUGGGUAUGCUGCGAAGAAUAUUGGAUGCUAACAAGUGGGUAAAAGAGGCUGUUUGACCGGCUUUUGCAAUGCUUGAAGAGGUUAUUAUAAACUUGCUGCACGUUGUAAUUCAGGUUAAAUUCUUAUAGAUUUCAACAAUUGUUUUAUUCAUUUGAGGCUGCUGAAGAGGUUGCACCAAGUUUGGAAAUAAUUGUGUACACUAGCUUAUGCGCGUGCUUUGUCUAACAUCAGUUUUUUGAGUUGCUUCUCUGAGAAAGCUUUAAUUGGGUUCUGUAAACCAAUACAUUAAGGUUUAUAUUCUUACUUUUAAUGGAUGUCGUUCUGAUACUUUUUGAUGUUAUACAUUAAUUUAUUGAAGGCUUGGUGUACAUCCAUGGAUAAAUACCUUCCAGGUUUGUUUGUCCUUGCUUAUGACCUUGCCGCAGAAGUGCUGAAAUUGGUCAAUAGUUUCUUGUUUUCUUCUUGUACUCUUGUUUUUUAUUAUAAUUCUGUUGUUUGCUUGGAAUACUGAAAUCUGCUGUAAGUAUUUCCUAAUUUUGCUUAUAAUUUACUGUAACUUCAAGUCUAUAAAAGCUUGGUAUGAAUCAUUUUUCAUUUCUGACUUUCCAGUUUCAGCAUUGAUUUAGAAGAUGUAGUAUUGGAAUUAGACAUUUUUUUAUCUAGUCCUUGAUGUUAAUGGUUCUUGGGUUUUUUCUGUCACUAGACCAUAAAAUUGCUGGGCAUUGCUAAUAUAUGUUUUAACUAGAAUACUAUGAAAAGAACUGUUUCUGUUAACUUUUAAUAAGAGUUAACAUAAAAAUUUUUCUUUUUUUUUUUUUUUGGUUGAGCUGUUUGGUGUCCUAUUGAUUACAUACGGCUCUUAUGGGUCUCCUGCUGAGAAUAUUGGAUACAAGAGGCUGCUUCUUUGGAUUUUGCAAUGCUUGAAGAGGUUGUUAUAAACUUGCUGUACUACUUGCUGUAUUUUGGGUUAAAUCCUUAUAUAUUUGAACAAUUGUUUUAUUCAUUUGAGCUAAACAUGUUUUUUAUCUAGUCGUUGAUGUUAAUGGUUCUAGGUUUUUUUCUAUCACUAGACUAUAAACUCAUCGGACACUGCUAAUAUAUGUAUUACGUAGAAUACUACAAUAAUAGCUGUUUCUGUCUCCUACAAAAUUUUUAGUAUUUUGAGUUACUGAAUGAAUUGUUGAAGUUAUCUCGUUCCUUUUAAGCUUGAUCAUUUUUAGAUCAAUGUUUUUUGCCUAAUGAUCAGGCUUGUGUAGCAUUUGGUCAGCUAAUUGAAGUCCGCCCAUCUUUUCUGGAGCCACACUUGAAGAAUGUAAGUGGAUAUAUGUUGCAAGUCAAUAAAGGCAUUGAUGAAUGAUGUGGCCCUUGAAACAUGUAAAUUUGGGUAACUUUCUUCUUUGUGCAUUCCAUGUCUGAAUGUCAUAUAUUUUAGAUUAAGAUGUCUUUUAAAACCAUUUUUUUAUACCCGUGUCUUUUAGUCUCAAUGUCAUAAACGUGUCUUUUCAUGCCUAUCCACCACCUUUUUUUUUUUGUUUUUUCUUGUGAUGUGAUUUUUAACUAUUUGACAGUCACAUUUGAAGAAUGUAAUUGAAUAUAUGUUACGAAUGAAUAAGGCCAUUGAUGAAUGAUGAAGUAGCACUUUAAGCAUGUGAAUUUUGGUAACUUUCUUAUUUGUGCAUUCGAUGUCUGAAUGUCUUAUAUGUAGAUUAAGAUGUCUUUUAAACCAUAUUUUUGAUAGCUUAUGCAGAUUGACAUGCUUCAAACUAAUAGUUUUUGGCAGAAUGCAAUAUCUCUUGAAUUUAGCCUUUUCUUUUACUUGCUCACCUCUGCUUGUUCACAUAACAUGUUUGUUAAACAUGUCAGAAGUGAUGGAGGUGUGCUUGCCCCUGUGCCUCUGCCUCUAUGUGCUAUCGAACUAUAGUUAUAAAAAAUUUUAAUAUU